AUUGAACGCUGGCGGCAGGCCUGACACAUGCAAGUCGAGCGGAUGAAGGGAGCUUGCUCCUGGAUUCAGCGGCGGACGGGUGAGUAAUGCCUAGGAAUCUGCCUGGUAGUGGGGGAUAACGUCCGGAAACGGGCGCUAAUACCGAAUACGUCCUGAGGGAGAAAGUGGGGGAUCUUCGGACCUCACGCUAUCAGAUGAGCCUAGGUCGGAUUAGCUAGUUGGUGGGGUAAAGGCCUACCAAGGCGACGAUCCGUAACUGGUCUGAGAGGAUGAUCAGUCACACUGGAACUGAGACACGGUCCAGACUCCUACGGGAGGCAGCAGUGGGGAAUAUUGGACAAUGGGCGAAAGCCUGAUCCAGCCAUGCCGCGUGUGUGAAGAAGGUCUUCGGAUUGUAAAGCACUUUAAGUUGGGAGGAAGGGCAGUAAGUUAAUACCUUGCUGUUUUGACGUUACCAACAGAAUAAGCACCGGCUAACUUCGUG
rnacentral:rRNA from 1 species